rnacentral:lncRNA from 1 species
ACGUCCACACCUUCUUGCAGCACGUGGUUACCUUCGGGAUUGUCAAGAACGAGGACUUGGAUUUGUACCGGAAGCUUGUUAUUGCUUCCGCUUGGAGGAAACAGAUGCCAAAGCUCGCGCUUUCGCUUGGUCUUACUCAGCAAAUGCCUGGUAUAGUCACAAUUACGCCGCAAAUUGAUUUUGUCGAUUUGUUAUUUGCUUGCUGAAAGUGUUGUGUUUGCGUUGAUUGUUUUUAGAUAUGAUUGAAGAGUUGAUCAGCAAAGGGCAGCAGCUUGAUGCAGUUCAUUUUACAUAUGAGGUGGGUCUUGUGGACAAGUUCCCUCCUGUUCCCUUGUUGAAGUCUUUUCUCAAGGAUGCUAAGAAAGUUGCGGCUUCUAUUUUGGAAGAUCCUAACAAUGCAGGCCGAGCAGCGGUAUUUUUCCCAUUUUGUUUUUAAUGUCUUUGUUUUUGUGUUUUGGUUUGGUUUAGUUCUUGAACGAGUAAAACUUUUCGAGAAACAUUUGUAUCAGAUGAAAAUAACAGGGUAAAAAGAAGUUUAGUUAUUUUCUAAGCUCAACAUCUGAAGAAGUGGAGAAAUUAAAUGUGAGAACUUUUAUGAGAAUUAAGUUUAACUCUUAAGGAAGUGAAGUAGUUUAAUUCAUAAAACAGAAGUUAGCUGUAGCUCAUAAGGAAGUAGUUUAAUUCAUAAAACAGAAGUUAGCUGUAGCUAAGGAAGUAGUUUAAUUCAUAUUAUUUCGUUCAUUUAGAAAAGCUUAUGGAGUAGUUUAUCCAAACCAGCCCUUACUAGGUCAACGUGCAGAGGCUGAACUGUCUUUUCUUUUAUGCUUGACGAGUUUAUCUGUGAAUGUGUAGUCGGUAGUUUAUGCGCGUUUCUAUUUUUGGUUUAUUUUGUAUAGACAGAGGAUGCAGCUUUUUAGAAAGAAUAUGCCUAGGAUUCAGUUUUAGAUAGGAGAAGAGAGUGGUGAUAUCUUUCAGGUCUUAGUAUUCGUACUUGGUUAGACACUGAUCUGAUUUCUGAUCCUUCUCAUCUAUUUGUUUUGCUUCUUUGGUUAGUUGGAAGAAAAUAAAGGUCCGGAAAUGGUAAAAGCGCUCUAUUUGUGAAGUGUUGUUUUCUUGAGUUAUUAGAAGUGGUGGGUUUAAUAUAUUAACGAUCUUUUUGUUUUUUUCAUUGUUGAAUGAAAUUUGGCAGUACCUAGCUGCAAGGAAAGAGCAGUCUGCACUCAGGGCUGUGAUUAAAUGCAUUGAAGAAUACAAACUUGAGGCUGAUUUCCCUCCAGAAAAUCUGAAGAAGCGACUUGAACAGUUGGAGAAGGUGAAGACAGUGAAGACCGAGAAAAGGAAACCGGCUGCUGUUCCUGCCAAUAAGAGAACUCGAGCAAGCAACAGCAAUGGAGGUCCAAUGCCACCAGCCAAAGCUGGGCGUUUGACUAAUGCUUAUGUAUCAUCUUUCCCUGCUGCUCCUACAUUUGUUAGGUCUCCAUCACACGGGCAAUACCCAGCUGCUCUUCCACCAUACCCUUCCCCACCCCACAUGUAUGGCAGCAGAAGUCCCCCGGCAAAUCCUUAUGCUGCUUAUUCGCCUGAGCCUGCACCAGCUAUUGCAGGGUCUUAUCCAGCGGCUCCCAUGAAUUAUCCUGCAUAUGGUGGCUAUGGAAAUGUCUUGGCACCCACUUAUCAGCAGGCUUACUACCGAUAGAAAUGACAACCCUCGAAGAUGGUAACCACUGAUAUGACGACCUUGAUCCAAUUUACUUUCGCAAUGUUGUUUGUAAUCACUAACCGUUUAACGGUAGCA